CUACGGGCCGCUGCAGUGAGGAAUAUUGCACAAUGGGGGGAACCCUGAUGCAGCAACGCCGCGUGGAGGAUGACGCAUUUCGGUGUGUAAACUCCUUUUAUAUGUCAAGAAAAUGACGGUAGCAUAUGAAUAAGCACCGGCUAACUCCGUGCCAGCAGCCGCGGUAAUACGGAGGGUGCAAGCGUUACUCGGAAUCACUGGGCGUAAAGGACGCGUAGGCGGGGUGGAAAGUCAGGUGUGAAAUCCUACAGCUUAACUGUAGAACUGCACUUGAAACUUCUAAUCUAGAGUAUGGGAGGGGGAGAUGGGAUUAGUGGUGUAGGGGUAAAAUCCGUAGAUAUCACUAGGAAUACCUAAAGCGAAGGCGAUCUCCUGGAACAUUACUGACGCUAAGGCGUGAAAGCGUGGGGAGCAAACAGGAUUAGAUACCCCUGUAGUC
rnacentral:rRNA from 1 species